AUUAUUAUUACGAAACGUUUCAGUUGUGAUGCUGAAGAUGAGACGCAUGGAUGUCUCGAAAUGCAUUCAAAUUUUCAUCACUCAGAAAAUUUCGCAAAUAAUAAUUUGUUACUCGCUGGAAAACUGAGCCUAAAUAACCGAAAAUAUAUUAAUUGCCGUCAAGGAAGGAACAUUAUUGUUCAAAUAACUGCAGCAAUGCGAACAGGACAAAUAAGUUCUGCGGUUUUAAAUCGUGUUAUAAAUGGACAACAAGGAAAUUUAGUAUCUCGUCUACAGCAAGCACUGCGAAAUGGAGAAAUAAGUCAACUAGCCUUCAAUAUGAUUAUGAAUCCACCACCACAGCUAGAAGAAGGAGGCGAUCAAAAUUAUUAAUUUCAAAUAUACCGCCGAAAAUGAUAAUUUUACAUCAAUAAAGUUGCGAUAUUCUUGCGUUUUGAU